rnacentral:rRNA from 1 species
UACGGGGGGGGCAAGCGUUGUUCGGAAUUACUGGGCGUAAAGGGCGCGUAGGCGGCCUGCUAAGUCGGACGUGAAAUCCCUCGGCUCAACCGAGGAACUGCGUCCGAUACUGGUGGGCUUGAAUCCGGGAGAGGGAUGUGGAAUUCCAGGUGUAGCGGUGAAAUGCGUAGAUAUCUGGAGGAACACCGGUGGCGAAGGCGGCAUCCUGGACCGGUAUUGACGCUGAGGCGCGAAAGCGUGGGGAGCAAACGGG